rnacentral:rRNA from 1 species
CCCUUAGAUGUCCGGGGCCGCACGCGCGCUACACUGGAGAGAGCAGCGGGUCUUUUCUCCUAGACCGAAAGGCCCAGGGUAAUCCGCUGAACCCUCUCCGUGCUGGGGAUAGGGACUUGAAAUUAUGUCCCUUGAACGAGGAAUUCCCAGUAAGCGCGAGUCAUCAGCUCGCGUUGAUUACGUCCCUGCCCUUUGUACACACCGCCCGUCGCUACUACCGAUCGAAUGGUUUAGUGAGAUCAUCAGAUCGACCGCCUGGGACCGGCUCUGCCGGUUCCGCGGCGUGACGAGAAGACGACCAAACUUGAUCAUUUAGAGGAAGUAAAAGUCGUAACA